GGAAGGGUGGCUCAGUGGUAGAGCGUCCUCGCCGGCCGUCGGCACCGGCCGACGGUCAGCGAGGAAGUCGACCGGACUCCGGUCGACACACGGCUUCGCGUGGUUCGAAUCCCGCCCCUUCCA
rnacentral:tRNA from 1 species